rnacentral:misc_RNA from 1 species
ACGCCAUUAUGCUCUUCAUGCUCGGAUUUGUGUGACUUUCUAUUCUUUGGAUGCUUCUCACUCAUGUGUACAUAUUAUGUGGGGUGUGCGUUGCGGUGGUGGUGCUGGGCUGAACGGCAAUGUGACCUUCUCUUUCUCUGGCCCUUUCUAACGCUCACCUUCCCCCUCCCCCGAUCUCUGCGCACAGCAGGUGUAGUGUGCGACGGCGGGCAUCAGCGCCGUUCUCGGCUGGCCGCGUGUCUUCCCCAGCCCUCUUUUUUCGCUUGUCUCCUUCGUCCAUUAUACAUGCGCACGCGCCCGUAUCUCCUUGUCUGGAUGGGUGUUUGCUGUCCCACUCAUUCCUAUGUGUCAGCGUGCGCCUCCGCUGUCUCUCUCCAAACAAACUGUUGGGACGGUGCACUCGGGACACUCGUAAGCGCCACGGGCCAACCAAAAUCUCUCCCUCCCUCCCUCCUUUUCAUCCCCCCAUGAUGUCGCGGAUUCCGCUAAUGCGACCACUCAUGAGCAGGGCAUCUCAAUUCACCUUCUGCUUCAACGCAUCGCGUGGCCAGCAGUUCGAACACCUACGAGAGCAGCUCGAACGACGUCACUCCUUGUUACUUGUCUUUGCCCCCCCGCCUCACUCCUACGCAUCUCUCUCUACCACCGACUGCCCCCCUCCCCCUCAG